rnacentral:tRNA from 1 species
GCACUAGUAGCUCAGCUUCAGAGCCUCGGCCUUGUAAGCCGGCCGCCAGUGGUUAGAAUCCACUCUAUUGCC